rnacentral:rRNA from 1 species
UACGGAGGGUGCGAGCGUUAAUCGGAAUUACUGGGCGUAAAGCGCACGUAGGCGGUUGGGUAAGUCGGAUGUGAAAGCCCUGGGCUUAACCUGGGAACUGCAUUCGAUACUGUCUGGCUAGAGUAUGGGAGAGGGAAGCGGAAUUUCCGGUGUAGCGGUGAAAUGCGUAGAGAUCGGAAGGAACAUCAAUGGCGAAGGCAGCUUCCUGGCCCAAUACUGACGCUCAGGUGCGAAAGCGUGGGGAUCAAACAGG